rnacentral:lncRNA from 1 species
CUCCCUGAGCGCCUCUGCCCACUCGUCCAAGCCCCUUUCACGGGCCAAGAGUCCUCGAGGCCCUCCUCAGCCAGGGGCUAUGUGGAGGGAGUGUUAAAUAUGAAACCGACUUCAGGGUUUGGAACUCUGAGUCUUAAUGCAACUUAUGAUCCCUGGAAUCUCCAAGUAGACGACCUUCCAUCUGAGCCACAGACUUUUUGUAGCAGCGUUUACCAUCCCAAACAAGAGCUAAUGAGGUGGAGCCGUUGUCAGGGUUUUGGUUCAAAUGCACAGAAUCUACCUGCAGAAACCAUGAGAGUGGCAGGAAGCUGGGACGGCAUUCUCCACUGAACCAUC